UUUUUUGAGACGAAAUCUUGCUCUGUCGCCCAGGCUGGAGUACAGUGGCGCGAUCUCGGCUCACUGCAAGCUCCACCUCCUGGGUUCAUGCCACUCUCCUGCCUCAGCCUCCCGAGUAGCUGGGACUACAGGCGCCCGCCACCACGACCAGCUAAUUUUUUUGUAUUUUUAGUAGAGACGGGGUUUCACCGUGUUAGCCAGGAUGGUCUCAAUCUCCUGGCCUCGUGAUCCGCCCGCCUCGGCCUCCCAAAAUGCUGGGAUUACAGGCGUGAGCCACUGCGACUGGCCAUGGUUCCUUUUUAAGAGCAACCCCCUUUAACCAACAUUAAGGUAGGAUCUCUAUUCAGGGACAUGUGCUAUUAUUGUGACAGUCAUUCUAAAAAUUUUGGGUGCCUUUUUUUUUUUUUUUUUUGAGACAGGACCUCACUCUGUCACCCAGGCUGGAGUGCAGUGGUGCAGUCAUGGCUCACUGCAUGGCUCACUGCAGCUUCUACCUCCCAUGCUCAAGUGAUCCUCCCACCUCAGCCUCCCGAGUAGCAGGAACUAUAGAUGCUCACCACCACACCCAGCUAAUUUUUUCAAUUUUUUUUUGUAGAGACAGCAUCUCUGUUUCCAGGCUGGUCCUAAACUCCUGGGCUCAAGGGAUCCGCCCGCCUCGGCCUCCCAAAGUGCUGGGAUUACAGGCAUGAGCCACUGCGACUGGCUGGGUCUCAAUUUUUAAUGAAAGAAAACCAAUAGGAAAAGCAGCAAAAGGGGGGAAAAAGACUAUUUAAAAGAGUAAGGAAAUACUAAAAAAUUUCCACAAGGAUCUAAAUCAAUAACAAGACUGAACUUUUAUUUUUGAAGACUUAAGGAAAAUUAACUUCAAGCUGUAGAGGUAGACAGAAUUUUACAAAGGAUAACCUGAGCUACCAGGAAACAUUUAUGUGACAGUAAAUUUAAGAGUUCCUUCCAAAGAAAUAGAGUUUGAUAGAGGUAAUCAUGCAAAAGCAUGACUGGGCUGGUACUGAAAGGUAUCCUUCCAUUUAGACCAAUGUAGGGCUCGGAAAGUACAGCUGGAGAAGAAAUACAGUUUUACAUAUUCUUUUCUAAAAAAAUUCAAUCUGCUUUCUCAAGUUGAAAUGUUUUAUAUAUUCUUAAACAUCCAGGGAGGGGUUGGGAAUGGUGGCUGCCAGAGCACCUAGCACUCAUCUCCCUUUCCUAAUAACAAUCUAAUUUCCUUUUGGCGGAUUAUCUUUUCCCAGUAGGAUACAGUCUGUGGAUAUUGCUGGCAAUUAGGAGGUUUUUGACCCAAGUUGGGCCAAUCAGAUGCUCCCUUCAAUGGAAGGUGAAUUUUGAACAGAGGGACAAAAAGAAUGGAGAUGUCAGGAGUUUCAUCCCAUCCAAGUGGAGUGUCCUGACCAGACCUGUGGGACUCUUGUGAGCCUUGUGUUUCCUGCUUCCUAGUUUCUGGAAUUUGCCUGCUUCUUACCCAUUUCUAAGACUGCUUCUUCAGCCUUCCCUCAAUCCUGUGGGACCUCUAUAUCCUUCUUUUAAACUCUGGCUUACAUUAGCCAGAAGCAUUUCUGUUGCAUGCACCCAAAGAACCUCAGCACACACAACAAUACCAGUGCACUGUGGGUCCUGAUCUCUGGUCCAAACCUCCAAGUGCUCCUAGAGACCUUUCAUGUGCCUGACCCUAGUGAGCAUGUAUCUCACUGAGAGUUAGGAGAGGCUUCACACAGAAAUAGUGGUACUAUCCCAGGCUUCCUCCAUCCAGUUACACAUACUCAUUUUUUUCCUUGGUUUUCCUGAAAUGUUGGAAUGUUCCUUUACUUUUCCACUUCAUAGUAUGAGCUGUUCAUAAAACAGCCAGCAGAAUCCUAGCACUUCGGAGGGCGCUCCCAGAUGAUUUUUGUAGUUGGAAUCUGUAUGACAGUGAGUCAGCCUGGUGAUCCUAAGGCCUGCUGUAAGCUCGACGUGUCACUAUUCACAUGCUUAGAAAUUAGGUCCCAAUGCACCUGACUGCCCUUAAGAGAAGUCAGUGGAAAAGAGUGGCAGGUUUGCCAGGUGUCGGAAUGGGAAUAUGCAGAAACUAAAAAUAAUGAAGAAGGGCAAUAUGUGGGGGGUGAGGGGUGGGGGUGGGAAAUAAAAAGAUCUGGGAACUGACAGUAGAAGGUGCCUUGAUCACAAUCACAAUAGGAGAUGAACAAGAGUAUAGGACAUUAGAGGCAGCAAAUGCCCUAGGCUAGCUUUUAGACUAACUUUUGAAAUCAGUGUUCAUAUUUAUUGUUUAACUUUUAACCUCAGUCUCCACUAGAGGUCUAGCCUCCUUGGUCUUUUACCAUUACCUGGGCUUCUACUUUGAGAUUGUUCUGUACAUCCACCAACCAUGAAAAGGUGAGGUAAUUUGGAAUUUAAGAAUACAGAGGCUCCAGAACCAAACCAGAGCUAGAGUGUGUUUGAACUUUGGCUCUACAACUUGCUAGUCCCAUGAACUUAGGCAAGCUACUUAACCUUUCUGUGCCUCAAUGUUCUCAUCUAUAAAAUGGGGAGAGUAAUAAUAAUAAUAAUAACAAUAAUAAUAUAUAUAAAGCACUUACUAGUACCCUUGGCACAUUAGUGCUCAAUAAAUAUUAGCUACUAUUAAUCAAUCAAUCAACAAAUAUGUAUUGAGCAUCCACAAUGUUCCAGGCACUGUUUUAGUUCUUGGGACAGAUCAAUGAACAAAAUAGGCAAAGAUCUCUACCCUUGUGGAAUUUACAAUCUAGGGGGGGUGGGAGCGGGAGGACAGAUGAUAAGGUAUGUUGGUACUGCUAUUAAUAUCUGACCCAAUAUCCACCCACUCCACUCAGCUUUCUGGAAAUCCUCUAAAUCUUUAUCUUCUUCUUUGAACAUUCUGUUCAUCUUCGCGCCUUCACCAAAACCUGAUUGGCCCUGAGGAUGUGGUUUUUCCCCAUAGCACCCAAAAGUGUGGUUGUUUUUUAUCUCACUGUCCCAUAUCCCAGAGCCUGUAGAUAGGGAAAUGGGCUUCCUUGCUUUCCACUGCUACUUCCAAACCCUUUCUCCUCCUUUAUCCUUUAAAAACCACAGCUAUUUGGAUGCUCAUUCCUUCACAUUAUAUAACCCUUCUCCCACUGAAUUGCUGUCAUCAAUAACCUAUUAUUCAUUUAUUAAACACUUGAGCAUACAACUCCUUCCUUUCACCCCUAUUUUUGUCAUCGUUCUUGGUGACUUUAACAUCCUUGGUCUCUGAGUUCCUGACCUUCUCACUUCCAGUGAUCUAUUCUUCCACUUUCUUCAGCUACAUUAAAAUGGCCAUAGCCUAGCCUUGUCAUCACCACCUUUCAAGUCUAGAUUUCAAUUGUUAUACGCCGACCACCAUUUUCAUCCUUCCAGCCAACCUUCUGUAGUAUUUCUACUCCAAUAAUUUUUUGACCACUCAGUUAAGCUCACUUGCUUGUCUGUUUUUAUUGUUUGUUUUGUUUUGCUUUGUUUUGUUCUAUUUAUCACCUCCUCGCAUGUCCUUGUUUUCUCUUUACCCAUGAUCAAUUCCAUGGGCCACUGUUAUAAACACUGCCUUACACGCCUUUGCCCCUCUCUCCUCGUGCCAAACUCUCCUAGAAAAAUCUUCAAAUUUGGUUAAACCCAGCUACUGGCUUAGGCUGAAACAGUCCUGAAGCAAUUUAAGAUUAAUGGAGAAAGUAAUUCCACUGAGUUGACUGAUUACACUUUAAAUCUAUGACUGCAGUCCUCAAAUGAGUACUCAACAUUGCUCAGAAAGGCUACAUUUUUUUUUCCAUAGUAAAGUUUAUUUUAACUUUUCUGAGGUCACUAUUUAUCUCUUCUCCCCUCAGACCUCCAAUGAUCAUCCCCUCUCAACUGAUGAUCUCAGUUUAUGUCUUACUGAGAAAACAGAAAUAAUCAGACAGAAACUCCCUCAUCCCUCCACUGUGACAUCUGUACAACUACUGGCAUAGGAAUUGUCUUCCUUCUCAUUACAAUGGAAGAAGUAGCUCUGUUUCUCUUAAAGGCAAACACCUCUACUUGUGCUUUGCAUCCCAUCCUCUCUUGAUGUCUCCAGGACUUAUUCCUAAGUCAUCCACCUCUAUUUUCUGCACAAUCAACUUCUUUCACUCUACUGGAUUAUUCUCAACAGCAAACAAAGUGCUCAGGAAUCUCCCAUCUUUAAAAAUCCUACUUUGAUACAUUCCCCUCCAGCUACAAUCUCAGUCUCUGUCUCCCUUCCAAUUAGUUUUACCUAGUGCCUAGAAAAUGCUGUUGACUUUUGUAUAUGGAUGUUGUAUUCAGCAAACUCAAUGAAAUCUCUUAUUAUUUAUAAUAAUUUUCCUAUACAGUGGAUUCAAUGGAUUUUCUGUGUAAAUAAUCAUAUUAUCUUUAAAGAAAGAUAGGUUUGUCUGUUUUUUUUUCAAUUCUUAUACCUCAUUUCUCUUUCUUUUCUCAUUGCACUGGUAGGACUUCCAGAAUGAUAUUGAGUAAUAAGGGUGAUAGUAGGUAUCAUCUUUCUUCUGAAGUUUUAUCAUUGAGUGUGUUGUCUAUAAAGGUAUUGGUUAUAUGUUCUUUAUCAAGUUAAGGAAGUUCCUGCCUAUUCUUACUUUGCUAAGAGUUUAUGUAAUAAAGGGACUUUGAAUUCUAGAAAAUAAUUUUUUUCUGCAUCUAUAUUAAGACAUGUCAUCUCUGUUAAUAUUGUUAAUAUUUUAUUUAGAAAAAUUUCAUCUAUGUUUAUAAUGGAUUAGUCUGUUCUUGUAUUCUUAGGUUUGGUAUCAAGUGCCUAAUAAGAUGAGUCACUUUCCCUUUUCUUCUACACUCUCAAACAGUUUGUGUAACAUAAGGGUUAGCUGUUCUUGAUAGGUUGGCCAAACAUCCCAGAAAUCCACCUAUGCCCAAUGUUUUUUGGGUAGAAGGCUCUGAUUUGUGGUAGCAAGUCAUUUCCUACAUGGGUUAUUGGUUGAUUUGGAUUUUCUAAUUAAUUAUUCUUGAUUCAACUUUCAAAAUUUACUUUUCUAAAAAAAUCAUUAACUUCCUCUACUAGUAUUAAGUUGUUCAUAGAUUUGCUCAUUCUAUUUUUUAUGAUUUUUUCAUUCCAAUUGUAUCUAUCAUUAUAAAUUAUGUUCUCUUUAUAAUUCUUAAUAUUAUUUAUUGCAUUUUCUUUUUUUCUGGAGCAGCCCUGCUAGGGUUUUAUCUAUUUUACUAGUAAUUUUGAAUAAUCAACUUCUGGAUUUGUUCAUUCUUUUGUUGUUGUUUCUUUUCCAUUAAUUUCUGAUAGUUUUAUUUUGCUCUGCUUUUUUUAGGCUUAAUCUAUUGUUCUCCUUGCUUCUAGAUUUAAACACAUCUUUUAUUGAGUUUUAAAAAUCAGAUUCCACUGUGGUCAGAAAAUAUCUCUAUAAGUUAACAAUUCUUACAAAUUUGUUGAGACCUUCCUUUGUGUGGCCUGUUAUGUCAAUUUAUGUAAAUGUUCAACAUAUUUUCAAAAAAGAACAUAUAUUCUCUAUUGUUGGACUUUGGUUUUUAUUUGUUUUUGAGAUAGGGUCUCUCUCUGUCACCCAGGUUGGAGGGCAGUGGCAUGUCACCUUGUCUUACUGCAGCUUCAACCUCCCAGGCUCAAGCAAUUCUCCCUCCUCAGCCUCCAGAAUAGUCACCACAUCUGGCUAAUUUCUAAAUUAUUUUUCGUAGUGACAGGGUCUUCCUAUCUCGUCUAGGCUGGUCUCAAACUCCUGAACUCAAGUGAUUCUCCUGCCUCGGCCUCCCAAAGUGCUAGGAUUAUAAGUGUGAGCCACCAUGCCUGGCCUAUUGUUGGAUUUUGAGUAAAGGAUAUAUCAGUUUGUGGUUAUAUCUUUUAUGUUUUUAAUAAAUUUCUGUAAAAAUAAAUUUAAAUUUAACACAAUUUUACAUUUUUACAUUUUCUUAGUUUUUGCUUUACAUGUUUUGAAUUUCAAGGUUAUGUUUUUAGGGGCAUAUAGGUUCAUGAAUAUUAUCUUUUCUUAUAUCAUUAUAUAUCUCUCUAUCCCUAUUAACAUAUAUUUCCCAAGAUUCCAUUUGCCUUACUGUGACACCACCCACCUUUCUUUUGGUUAGCAUUUUGUGGUAUGUCUUUUGUCAUCUCUUUAUUUGUGUGGUUUGGCCUAAGUGGGUCUUUUGAAAAUAGCUUAUAACUGAAUACUUUAAAAAUUCUAAUCUGAUAUUCUCCAAUUUUUAAUAGACACAUUUAAUCAGCUUACAUUUAUUGUAGUUACCAUCAUAUUUGACUUACUUCUUCCAUUUUAUUUAGUUUUCUAUUUAUUUUCUUUCUUUCUUAUCUUCUCUUAGGUUUUUUUCUUCUUUCCUGUCUUCUUUCAUUUUUUUUUUGUCUUUCCUGUCUUCUCUUAGGUUGGUGAGAUUUUCUAUAUUCUGCUUUCUCCUUUGUUGGUUUAGAACCUAUAGAUUGAUGUUCUUUUCUAUUCAUAAUUACCUUAAAGUUUUACCAUACACAUUUAAUUAUAUAUGUUUCAAAGUCUGAAAUUUUCAAUAUCUUAUCCUCCUCCCUGAACAAGGCAAGACUCUUAGCACACUUUACCCAGUAAAUACUCUUUCUACUAACAUAUUAUCUCAACAUAUUACUUUUUUAUUUAACUUUUAUUUUAAACUCUAGAUUUAGUUAUUUUAUAGUCAGUUGAAGUAAGUCUAUUUUAACUUAUUUAUUUCUGUGUCCACUAUAGUUUCUUGAUUUCUAUGUCCUGCCUUGAAACUGAGUUUUUCUUGAUAUAAUACAUAUUUUAAUGGUUCUUUCAGUGAAGACUCAAGACUGAUAUAAACUUCAUUUUAAAAAAAUCCUAAAACUGUCUUUCUUUUAAAUCGGCUCUUGAAAGCUAGUUUAGCUAGGUAUAAAACUCUGGCUUUACAAGUGAUUUUUUUCCCCUUUCAGAUAUUUGAAGAUACUACUCCACUGUCUGCUGGAAUCUAUUGUUAGUAAGAUGUCUAUUAUCAAUGCAGCUAUCAUUCCUUUAUAAAUAACUCUCUUUUCUCCCUGGUAACUUUGUUUUUUUCUUUCUUUAUCUCUUUUUUUUUUUUUUUUUUUUUUUGAGACAGGGUCUUUCUCUGUUGCCCAGGCUGGAGUGUAGUAGCACAAUCAUGGCUCACUGUAGCCUUGACCUUCUGGGCUCCAGCAAUCCUCCCAUAUCAGCCCUCGAAGAAGCUGGGACUAUAGGUGCAUGCCAUUAUGACUGGCAUUUUUUUUUUAAAUUUUUUGUAGAGAUGGGGUCUCGCCACAUUGCCCAGGCUAGUCUUGAACUCCUGGGCUCAAGAGAUCCUCCUGCCUCUGCCUCCCAAAGUGCUGAGGUUACAAGUGUGAGCCACUGUGCCCAGCCACAACUUUUAAUACUAUCAUUUUUAUCCUUGAGGUAGAUAGGUUUACUAUCUCAUAUGUAUGUAUAAAAAUUGGAGCUUCUCAGUAUAUCUUCAUGCCCUUAACUCUGACUUGCACUACGUUUUGGUGGCUUCUUAAAUACUAUCUUCCUAUUCACUAAUUUUAUCUUCAUCUAUUUCAUGUCUAGAAUUUAUCCUAUCUGUGUAUUUUAUCUUUUUAAUUCAUUCUUUUUCAUAUUUGCCAAUUCUUAUUUCUGCCUGCUUUAUUUCACAAUAUCCUUUUUAAAGUAGAUGUUAUUUCUCUUUGAGUAUUUAGGCAAAUUUAGUUUAAAGUUUUAGUCAGAUUGUUCCAUUAUUUUAAUUUCUUUUGGACAAGAUUAGAUAACAAAUGUUGAUUUUGUUGACUGGUUUUCUUAGUGUUGAAUAUUUUUGCUUGGAUACUAAUUUAGAGAGUAAGGUCUUCUUUCUUCUUUCUCCUCAUUUUCUUCUAUCCUAGAGAUUUUGUAGAGGUCUCUGGUUCAGAAUCAAGUGAUGAUUUAAGAUCUUUCCCAGCUAUGGUGUUAGUGAUCUCUCCCUUAGUAGUGAAAGCAUCCUAGCUUCUGGUUGCUGGGCUGUGAUUAUUUCUCCUGCCUCCAUAGACCUACAGUUUCCUAUAAGAAAUAGUCUCAGAUAUAUCAUCAGCAGCUGUUUUUCAACGUUCUUUCCUAGUAAGCUCCACCUUACAGAUGACCUGAGGUCAAGAGUUCAAGACCAGCCUGGCCAACAUGGCGAAACCCUGUCUGUACCAAAAAAUACAAAAAUUAGCCUGGCGUGGUGGCACGCGCCUGUAGUCCCAGCUGCUGGGGAGGCUGAUGUGGGAGAAUUGCCUGAACCUAGGAGGAGGAAGUUGCAGUGAGCCAAGAUUGUGCCACUGCACUCCAGCCUGGGUGACAGAGUGAGAUCCUGUCUCAAAAACAAAGAAAAAAAGAAAGCCCCACUUCAGUGUUUCAUUUUUAGAAGUGAGUCUAACCCCAGUAAUCCACUGCACUUGAAGCAAUUUUAGUCCCUCUCAUUCCACAGGAGCCUCUAGCUGUGCUUCUGGAUUUAGAACUCAGUCAACCUGUGGCUUCAGCCUGGUUCACCAUUUCAACAUAACCCACCUAGAGAAAGAAAACCUGUAUUUGAUGAAACAGAAUAGGGUUGUGAAUUCCUUGGAGUUGGACGGACCAGGGUUUCUUCUGCAGACUUAUCACUUACUAACUGAGAGACUGGGAGCAAGUUAUCUAACUUGUUUGAUUCUUAGUUUUCUUAUUCUUCAGCUAGAAAUGAUAAUACCUACCUCACAAAAUUAAUGAAAUAACAUUUAAAACUGUGCCUGACACCCAACAGAUGCUCACAGGACAUACUAGAAUAAGUAUUAAGUAACCCAUUUUAAAAGGUAAAUAAUUAGUUCUGAACAAAUCUAUAUUUGCCAGGAUUUUUUUUCCCACUAAAUAUGGACCUUGACUCAGAGCUUUCUCUUUCUUGCUCUUCAUGCCACCCUCCUGACAUUUACUGGUCAAGAUGUUUAGUAAUAUGAAUUUUAACAGGCUGAUCAUGGGUUUUUACAAGAGAUCAGAUAAAACUUAAUUUAUUUAUACUUUAUGAUUUAUGUCCAACUUUUAAAGUGUACUUGAGGUAGUUUACAAUGAAAGUCACAUAUGCAAUAAGUUGGUUGAAUAAUAAAGGGAAAAUUAAACCAUAGAGGAAGAAGGGAAAAUAAUUAUGCCCAAAAUCUGAGUUAAUUAUUACUGUAAUUGAGUAUUAAAUUUGUUUAAGGCUUCCUGGCAGCAAAAGGCAAAGAAAGAGGAAAUAUGAUGAAUGACAUCAUUCUCAAUGGCUGAAGUUUUUCUAUGAAACAGUGUAGCAAGGUUAUGAUGGGCUAGAAACCAUGCAGGGAUUAUGCUCCAUUCAGGAUGUAUGGUACGGAAGACUGGAGGGAAUUCUUUACUGGUUGGUGCCAGCCUUUUCUCAUGGCUUUAGCAACAGGUUGGACGACUGUGGUUUUAGAUGGCUUAGUGCAAUCUGACUGGAGCCCACAAACUGAGAUGGAAGACUUUUAAAAAAAAUAAUGUUUUAAAGUUUUUCAGUAUAAAAAAAUACACAUUUACUAAAGAAAAUUUGGAAAAUUUGAAAGAGUAUAAAGAAGAAAACACAAAUAUCCUUACAAUUCCACUGCUCAGAAAUAAUCAUUGUUAAUAUUUAGUAAACUUCCUUCCAGGCUUCUUUCUAUGCAUACUUUAUGAGCUGACUUGUUGCAGUUCUUUCUGGCUCAAUGAUUCUACAAAUUAGGUGGCCUUUGGCCCAAGUGGUUGUUGUGUUUAAUAAUAAAAAUAGCUACUGCUCAUAUAUUGUACAUCUGAUGUGCUCCAGACAUUCUAUUGGUGCAUUAUGUAGUCCCAGUCCUUCCAAGACCAACAGGCACAAGGAAGUUUUCCUAUUUGCAGAGAGGUUAUGUAAUUUGUCUAAAUCACAUGGAGUGAAAGGAGCAGCAAAACACAAAUCUGGGUGUGUCUGCACAGCAUAUUCUCUUUCUCCUACAAUGUGCUACUUCUCUGAGACCCAGGGGUGCCCCUGAUCCCUGCCACUUUGUUGUGACUCCUGGAAGUGGGAGUGCCAGAGUCUGACAUCAGCUCAGUUGGUUCAUGGGCCUCAAAUGGCCAGCCCAGAAAACAGAAGGAGCUCGCUCCUCCCCUACUCUCUCUUUCCUUUUGUCCCCUUCCCCCACAUCCCAGAGGUCAAGAAGCUAAACUGUCUAGGCUCCCAGGUUAGUUCAGGCAGCUGUUCAGAUGGCUUUUACUUUGAAAAAUACUGUAAUUCAAACCUCUUUCAUGGGGAUAAGGUUAAGAAAAAGUCAAGAAACUCAGUUCCAUUGUUUUCAGUCCCAACAAUACCAAAGAGCAUGUAGGCUUUUUCAUUUUGUUUCGUUUUUUGUUUUGUUUUGGUCAUCGUUAUUAUUGGGCUUUAUAAUUGAAACUUUGUGCGGAUGUAACUUUCUUCUUUCCUGAGCUCCCCGUUCUGCCCAGAAACUUCUCUCUUGGGCAAGUCACAGACCAAAGAGUCUUGCAGCAGUCCCAAGCAGCCGCUAAGAGUCACAGAUUCAGGCCGCACUGUUGUCAGGGCAGGCUGGCCACCACACCCAGAAGGGGAAGCCUGUUGUGAGUGGCCUCUGUCCAAAGCAAGCAGUGUCCCGUGUGCCAGGGGCCACUCCUGGCUGAAAAUGAACUAGUUUUCUCCUCUCUCCUUUACCACUUUCGGGGACCUAAGAACUGAAUCCAGAAGAACCAAGCGGCCUGAAUGUCAGAGGCUCUUGGUGGGCCAUGCAGUGGGCUGAGAUCCUCUGAGCAGAGGUCUUCCAUGCAGAGUGGUCUGCAGCAGUCUAGAUGAAUCAGGCUGGGUUGCCAGUGGGCGUGAGUCAGCAAUAAGAUGCCCUCUCCCCACUAUACUUGCAUAACUCUAAACACAGGCUUUGUCUUCCCUAACAAUCACUCAUCUGGCUGUGACACACUGGAGCCUGCUUCCUGGAGGACAUGUUCAUGGGAAAAAUAUUUUAAAAGAGGGUGUCCACACCUGAGCUUCAGCACUGUGUGCAACGGUAAUUCAUCUCAAUUGCUGGACGUAUAAUACGGUCACAUGUCGCUUAACGACACGUUCUGAGAAAUAUAUCAUUAGGUGGGUUUGUUGCUGUGGAAACAUCGUCCAGUAUACUUACACAACCUAGAUGGUAUAGUCUACUACACACCUAGGCUAUAUAGUCCUGUAUGUGGUCAGUUGUUGACCAAAACAUUGUUAUGUGGCACAUGACUAUAUGUGGCAAAGCACGAACAAGCUGGUUUUCCAAAUGACUUGCCUCAAGAUUUGGGACCCAUUUAAUAAUAACAACGAUAGAAACAACAGCAACAACAACAAUGAACAUUUUUAUAGCACUGAACAUGACCCAGACAGUUCACUAAGCACUUGACAUAUAUUAACUCAUGUAUUUUCCCCAUUUUACAGAUAAGAAAACUGAGGCGCUAUGAUGGUAACCAACUUUCCCAAUGUCACAGAGGUAGUAAGAACCUGAACCAGAGCCUCAGGAAUUCCAAUUUCUUAACCCAGCUCAGGAGUUUGACUUGGAUGUUCAUGUGAUGGAAUGGUGGAGGACAGAAGAAAAUUGUAAAUCACAAGUAUUUCCCAGUUGAUAACUUCUCAAACCCAAGAAUGGCUCAGGUUGGCUCCCGGCACUUGGCAUGUCAUGGUUCUAUCAUGCUAAUUCCAUAUGCCGGAGCUCAUUGAAGUUGUGGCUGGCUAUCUGGAAGGGGAGAAAAAUCCCCCAGACCCUGUGCUGGCUGGAAGUGUUUGGCAUUUGGGGCGAGUGUGGGUGUGAAAAGCAGCUUGUUGUAAUGCUAUAGGAUGUCUGGACCACACUAAGGAGAGGCCCUGGCAACACUGCUAAGAAAUGGAACAUCACUCGUCAAGAAGAGACCCCAUUGCAGGGAAACUCUGAUGGCUGAAGUGCUCAUAUGCAGGUGGGGCUUAGCCAGGAGAACCAUGAGAAUUCCCAGAUGGUCAGUGGGAAGGAUGCUAAGGUGACCACCAUGAUUUUCACUUCCCAGCUCAUGGGACAAUGUCCUCCAGGUCCUAUGACCUGAGGGUUGAAAACCCAGAUAACUUUGAAUUACUUUCUUAUUGCUGUUGUAAAAGUUACCACUAAUGGAAUGGCUUAAAGCAAGGAAAAUUUAUCUUAUAAUUCUGGAGGCCAAAAGUCUGACAUGGGUCUCACUGGGCUAAAAUUAAGACAUCUGGAAGGCGAUGUUCCUUUCUAGAGGCUCUAGAGGAACAUCCAUUUGCUUGCCUUUUCCAGCUUCUAGAGGUGGCCCUCAGUCCUCGGCUUAUGGCCCCUUCCAUCUCCAAAGCUGAUAAUGGCCCAUUGAGUCUUUCUUACAUCGCUUUACUGACAUUGAGUUUUCUGCCUCUCUCUUCCACAUACUGGGACCCUUGUGAUUAUGCUUGGCCAAGGACAAGCUUUCUAUCCCAAAGCCAACUGAUUAGCACCUUUUUUGCUUCCUUAAUUCUCCCUCACCAUGUAACAUAUGCACAGGUUCAAAGGAUCAGGACUUGGACGUCUUUGGGAGGCCAUUACUCUGCCUAUCACAGGCCACAGAUGGAAAGGGUGGAAACCCCUAUCACGAACAUUCUUGGCCCAGUUGAGGGCCUGCUAAGCAGCUGGUGGUCUCUGCCACAUGCUGGAGAGAAAUCGUUGGAGACCUGCCUCAGAGAAAACACUGGAAAUCACAUAAAUGGUUUUUAAAGAACUACAGCUACGUCCAUCUUCUUGAGUCAAAAAACUCAUUUCUGCUCCCUGUCAGAACCUAAAAAAGAACCAUCCUGUGGGGUCAAAUCAUUGACACAGGCAGCCUGGAAUCCUUCUGAACAGCGACUACAAGGGACAGUUUGUAGGAGAACGUGAGUUAACUCAGUUCUAAAAUCUCAGAAGAACGCAUCCAGAACAUUCCUUCAUCAUGCAUCUCGGAUCUGUUAGGCACAACUUCAAAGCCAGCUCGAGCCUGUGGGUGUGUUUAGCCUGUGUGUUUCCCAGGGCAGCAGCGUAGAACUCACAAUGUGCUUCUAUUUCUUGGUCUUGAACCAACCCGUCAGGAGUGUGGAGGAGUAAGGGCCCUAAUUUCAAGCCAGUCAGGGUUUACUCUGUCCAUAGAUUUAUCUUUCAUACUCUUCUCUGGCCAUCUCUCAGUUUCAGUCUGUCCAGCCUGAAAUGGUUUACUUUUUAAAUUUUGUGCAUGUUUUUAUCUUUUUUAUUUUUAAACUUUUGACAUGCAUAGCUCAUUUGAGGAUCGUGACAGCAGCUCUCUCUGUCGGUCGGUCAGGAGCAGUGCAGAUGCCAUGUGUGCCCUUGGGAAGGUGGCUUGACCUCUGUCUCAAUGUCCUUGUCUGCAAUAUAAGGAUAAUUACAGCACCUGCCACCGAGGGAUGACGUAAGGAGUGAGUGAACCAUGCAAAGCCCUUAGAACAGUGUCUGGUACUUGGUAAAGCUGUGAUACACCAUAGCUGUUAUUAUUAUCAAAAGAUUAAAUAAGACACAAACCUCUUUUACUGUCACAGAACUGGCCAUUUUGAUGCCACCAGACCAUUGAUAUUCACUCCAUUUUGAGCACGACAGACACAUUCCUAAGCAAUAUGCUUCUUUGUUUUGCUUUAUAGGAAUACAUUUGACCCUUGAACAACAUGGACUUGAACUGCCUGGGUCUACUUAUAUGUAGGUUUUUGUUUUUUCAACCAAACACAGAUAGAAAAUACAGCACUUGCAGGAUACAAAACCUUUGUGUAUGGAGGACAACUUUCCCUAUACUAAGGGGCAGUCCCCCACAUACACCAAGAGGCAUUCCUACAAAUGCUUUUUCUUGUAGUGGAGGGUAGACAUCAAAGCCCACUGUUGAGGGGGUAAAUGAUAGGCAGAUGGAAAGCCGGGCACUUAUGCCAGGGCCAAGAGAAAGCUCCUCUAUCCAGUUUGGGUUAGGGAUGUAAAUAAGGCAUAGUGGGUUCUCUCAGGGCUCUUUGGUGCUGGCUGUCUUCCUGAUUCUCACCCAAACUCAAAAGGGAACCUCCCAGACAGUGCUACGUUGCCUUCACAGUGAAUCAAAUCCUGUUAAUCCAAAAGGCCACCCCAGACAUCACGAACAGAUCUUGGCCAAGUCCAUUCUAAUCCAGCUUCAACCCCACCAUGCCCCAACUCCACUUUCCACUCUGCGCCUUGUGGCAGUGUUGAAUGUCAGGGAACUCUCCUUGGGGACUGUAAAAAAGCCCUCAGGCUUCCCAUCCCAGGGCAGGGCCACUUGCUCUCCUCUGCCCUCAUGCCUGGUAUCCGCUUUCUACUCUCAUCACAGCCUGCCUCUGAAUUGCCAGCUUCUACCACCAAGCCUGGAAGAACUUCAGGGACCAAGAACCUUAACUCCAAAUGGAACACAGGCCACAAAAAUUCCUCAAAUAUGUACACCAAAACAAAAGGGUCCCCGGGGAUUCACUUUAUCUUACCAAGUUUCAGCUGAAGGGGAAGCAUUCUAAUGGCAAGUAAGAAAAGCUGUCAGAGAACUGUUUUGUUCAACAUCAAAUGCAUUCCAGGCCUUAUUUAAUCAGGGAGCCCUCUUCACAGCUGAUGCAGAGGUUGUUCCUGCAAAUUGUUCCUGAGUCAGGGAGAGGAGCCUUGAUUUUCAAUGCAAAAUAAUGUUCUUUUGGCACAGGCAAAGUUGGUUGGCAGCUGGAGGUUUGGGGUGACCUCUGACCCUCUCCCACAGUUCCUCCCAAGUCCCACUGCACAAAACUAAGCCACCCUCAAAUCCCAGGCUCUAAUUGGCUCUUUGGUUUGUUUUGCUUUUCUCUUCUAUCCAGAGCUUCAAAAGGCACUUCGAUAAUUGUUUGAGGCAUGAAAAAGGCAGGUUUCAGCUUUCCUAACUGGAAUGGAGGUAAUUACUGUCUUCCACACACGAGCCGGUACAUGCUUGAAAUCAGAUGGCUCUGGGUUGUUUUAGAAAGUGUAGCUGGGCCUCUGAGCCAGGAGAGGGAGGAUUAUGGAGCCUUCCAGCGGCUCCAUUCCAGAGAGGGAGGAAUUCAGACAUCCCAGAAACGGUGAGGGUAACUUCCAUAUUUUUUUUGCAGUCUCUUCAAUUCUGCCCAAGAGAUUUGGCCUGAAAAGAUUGUGCCUUCAACCUCAUCCUGGAAAUUCAGGUAGCAUUUUUCGGUUUUCUCUCUCAGGAGACAGAAGCUGACACCCCACAUGACUCCCAUCUUGUCUGUAAUCAGCAACCAGGGCUUUGACCUGCACUGUCCUCCUUUCCAGCAGCAGAAAGGGGUCAAACUGAGCCAGGUCUAGUAAGAGCUAUCUCAGAGAACCAGAACACGGAUUUGCUUUUGUUCUCUCAGGACAGCAAACCCAAGGGAGGGCAGACUCAGGCUCACAUCCCACUCACACGGCCCUGAGUGUGGACUGGGAGCAAGACGCUGCUUCAAAUUUCAGCCUGCCAGCUGUGUGUCCACAGGCAGCUAACAAACAUCUCUCAUCCAGCCACAGCCUCACCCAGAGAAGAGUAACCGACCCAACCUUAUAGCGUUGCUGUGAAGUCAGUUAACAUAGGGCUGAAGUUUGCUGUGAAGUCACAGCAACCCUAUGUUAUGGUUAACUUCAUUUAACAUAGGGUUAAUGUAGGUUUAAUAUGAGGGGCUAACAAUUACAUAUAAAUGUUAGCUACUGUAAUUGUCAGAUGCAUGGCCACUGGUGCCAAAGGAACCACUCUGAAAAUUCUGGAGGUUUUCAAGACUCUGGGGAUUCAGAAAUGGAGGAAGAAAAGAAGCUGCUGCAGGAACAGUGCAGGGAAGCUAGAAGGGAACAGGGUGGCAGCCCCAGCUCAAAAGGUCUUCCCUCUCAAGGGCACCACCUGAAACGUAUAAGGUUGCCUGAAAUUCCACAGAUUAGACAUUUAGUUUUGCUUCUUUACAACAAUAUAUCUCAAAGAGAACUGGCUGGUUAAACAUUAUUCAUACAUCUGUGUGAACUGGUUUAUUUGCUCUCUUCCUAAUACCUACACACUUAGAAACUCCAGGGAGCAAAGAGCUUGGGUCUGAGUUAGGGACUAGGAAAGGAACAGAAAGUAAUAACUUAGAGUCAUGAAGCACUGUCCAAGACAUGGCCAGCUGUUCAGACUCUGAGAGCCCCAGUUCAAUUCACUGGCUGGCCUGCAGACAGCCUGCCUGGCUCAUGAGAAGGGAGGAGUGGGGAGUCAGGACCUGGAGGUCCUGAGGUGCUUUUCUGAUGUUGGUACUUUCACGUUGCCCACUCAUAAAAUACCCUUUGUAAAUGGCUUCUGGGACUCCCUCCUCUCUGGGAGUGCCUCCUUCGUGAGCUCUGCAUAUGGGUGGCCCAGAGAGCAGGCCCCAGCUGUUGCCUCUCCUCAGACAUUCCAUCCCUAUGACCUCAUCCAGGUGCGGGCUUGAGUCACCACUCCACUACAGACUCUCUUGAUUUGGAUAUUCAGUUGCCUACUUGACAUCUCCCUUUCAAGUACCUCAAACAAAACGCUCCAUGUGCCCUUACCCCUACCCCCUGCCACCCAAAACAAUCCAAACAAAAACUCCAUCAGCCUGGUCUCCAUGGACAUGUUCUUGAUGCAGUCAACCUUUCAGGACUAUUGACGUUUCUCUUUGUACCUUGUACUUUUCUUUCACAGCCCUUAGGACAAUGUAUAAUCACUUACUUAUUUUCAUAUUGACUUGUGUAAUACCUGUUUCCCAAUAGACUGUAAAAUUCAUGAGAAUGAGACCAGGUGGUUUGUCUCCUGUUCUUCCCCACACCCUAACUGGCACACAGUAGGUCCUCACUAUGUAUUUGUUGAAUGGAUAGUAUUAAAGUGAAGAUGGGUCCUAGGGUGAGGAAGAGUUUCUGGGCACAAAGAAAGGCCAUGAAACCUGGCAAAAAAUACAUAUGAGCUCAUAUCUUGUUUUCCUGAGGAGCUAUUUGGUUUCUUCCUCCUCCUAUUUGAUGAAGUUAUAUGUUUAAUUAAAGCCCUGAACAGUUAGAACAAAUGUAUAGGAAAUGAUCACAUGAUCAUGAACUUAGCAAACAGCUACAAGCUUAACUGUCUAAUAUGGGGAGUGCCUAAAUGAUAUGUAUCAAUAUGGUUGACUCUCAGUUAUCCAUUCCAGUGGAUAAUCUAAUAGCCAGUAAUCUAAUAGUUCAUAAUUUACUUGCCUAUAAUCCCAUAAGUUUUACAUGUGGCUUUGGAUUAUGUUUUGGAAUUUGCACCAGGGUAUGGGGGCUCUGAUGGUUUAGGAAUUCACAGUACUUUGAGCAUAUAUGUCCUAUGUCACUACCCCAGUUGCCCAUUAAGGAUUCCUCUGGGUUCCAACUGCAUGUGGAAAAAAUACUGCAUUGUGCUUAGGAGGAAAGUGCAUUGGUCUUUGUUUGUUUGUUUGUUUGUUUUGUUUUGGCUGUAAAAAUUGGGGUCCAAACCCCAGCUCUUGCAUUUACUAACUAGCUCUGUUUUCACACUACUUGUCCCCGUCUAAACCACUCCCUCAGGCAGGUGCAAAACAAGGCGAAAGCAGAGUUAAGCUCCUUAUGAACUUUCUGUUUUACAUCUAGGCAAAGAAACGUUCUCUCUUCUCCUUUUUUUCUCUUUUUCUUUCUGCCUUAGAAGACCUUCUCUUCCAGCUCAGUGGGAUGAAGUCAACAAGGUCUUUGCUUUACAAAAUCAUGCCUGAUUGGGAAAGAUCCUGAAAAUGUCUAGACAAAUCUGAAAGAAAAAUGCUGUCCUGGGCAAUCUAAUACAGAAAACUGACUCUGGGCUUUCCCUGGGCUCCACUGGUCCCACCAAUGGUGCAAAUGACGGUGACUUUCUCCACGUUCUACAUACAUCUGGGCAUUUGCUCAUGCUGUCUUGGGUCAAAGUCUCAAGUUGGAAAAUGGAUUCAUCCUGAGAUCCAAGGCAGAACCAGUCGUGUUGUCAGUGGGUAGCUGAGACCCCAAAAUUCCCACCUCUUUUCCUGUCAUGAAGUUUCUAUCUCGAGAGAAAACAGCUGUCCAUUCUUAGGCCAACUGGGACUGAAGCCAGCUGUUCCUUCCAGAUGCCAAGAGUCAGAUGCACGCCCACUCUUUUCUCCUAUUCCCUAAGGCUGAAGUCUCAAACUUUAUUGAAUUUAUUAAUAACCUCAGGGACUUGCUAAAAAGCAUUUCCCCAGGCUCUACCUCCAGAGAAUCUGAUUCAGUUAAUUCAGGUUGGCCAGGAAAUCUGCAUGUUAAAUAACAACCCUCCUGCCCCACCUCAUUUCUGAUCUCUAGGAAAUUCCUAUGUAAUUGGUCUGAGAAUCAUACUUUGAGUGACAAUAGCCACAGUGGAGGCACUGGUGUGCCGGUAAAUGUUUAACAACUGGCUCUGGAGGUGGAAAAGCCUGGUUUGUAGCUUGCUGAUUUCUGUGGUAUAAAUAUUCCCACCUUGGUCAACUCAAGCUACAAAUAUGACAUCAUGAUUGUGAAGUUGGGAAAAGGUUUGUGCAAUCAGUUCUGAUAAGCCCAUAGUAACUGAUUUCAGCAUGCCCACUGGGUGGAAGUGGCCGGAUGCCUCCAAAUGCUGGUUCCUAGGCUCUGGCAUAGAAGGGCCACUGUUUGGUCCAGAAUGUCACAUCCCCUAAUUUUUUUUCCCUAAAUCCUUCGUUUUUUGAAUGGUUUGUUUUGGUUACUGGCUCUCGGAGACCUUGAGGGGUUCCAAGCCAGAGAACAAAGAAGGGGAAGAGAAGGAGCUCCAAGAAAGAAAAUGCAAUUAGUGUAGGAUGUUGGCCUCAGCUACGCUGCUAACCUUGUUCAACCCAGCUUUCAGCAGGGAAGGGGUUUCAAACACCUGUCUCUGCCUUCAUUUGAUAAGCUUUCUGGUCAAGUCACAUUAACCUGAUCCUGCUGACCUGGAGAAGGAUGAAAAGGCUGAGUGUCGGGGACCUGAGGGGAUGAAAGUGGAUGGGGGAGGCCUGGGGGGGGGGCUCAUAUGACCUGGGGUCACCAUCGGCUUAAGGCUUCCCCUUUGUCUCCCUGCUCUGGCCCCAUGUUUGAAGGUUCUGGUGAUUUCCUCCCGCCCCCCGACUAGGCGAACAGAUGUGGAAAGAUCUCCAGUUCCCAGGGCUCAGGACACAACUGCCUGUUGUUUCCCGCCUGCAGACCGGGGCCUGCAGUCACAGGCAGAACAGCUACGCAAUCACUUGCCAAAGAGCUGAGCCCAGUCAGGUGUGGGGUGCAAGCCUACUCUGCCUUUUGGGAGUGAGAGGAUGUGUAAGCCUAGCUGAACAAGAAUGGAAAACAACCAUGUUCCCGCCCUGUUGUGCUCUAAGUUCACUGUGUAGGAAUUCAGAGGCACUUUAGCAGAGGCAAUGACUUGAGCUCUUCCACGGCAAUACAAUGCUCACAGGUGCCAUGACCAUUUGAACAAACGCUGCCUUCUGGGCCAGCUGCUUCUCUUGUCCCACACUGCAGGUACUGCCAACGUGAGAACUUUGCCCACUUCUAGACUGGAGUUGAGGGCACCCUGCUACUCUAAAAAGGAUGUUUUCCUCAGCCCACUGAGCUUUCAGGGCUCACUAGAUCAAGGCGGUAGAAGAGUUACAAAGGAAGGGGUGCAAGUGUUAGCUUCCUUAUGUACCUUAUUUAUUCAACACUGAUAGUUUCAGAAAUGGCUUAGAGCCUAGCUUCCUCACCAAUAUCCAUAUACCUUUGACAAGUGGGACAAAUAAAAGCAUAAAAAUAUCUCCCUUAAAUAAAACGCCUUUCUCAUAUCUAGUCCAUCUACAAGAAUAAGCUGAUACCUAAUGAUAUGUUUUCUAGUUUAUGCAAUAAAUGGUGGUGAUUACAAUUUUGCACAAAGACCUGGUACAUAUACGUCUUAGCAUGUAGCACAUUUACCUGUAAAUGCUACAAGUAGCAGAAUGACAGCCAUCUCCCUAAAGCACUGAUUCUCCAAGUGAGGUCUGCAGUCCCCUGGGAUCCCUGAGACCCUAUCAGGGUGUCUGCAAGCUCAAAAUUAUUUUCAUAAUUUUGAUAAUAUUUCAUAAUAAUACCAAGAUGUUAUUUGCCUUCUUCACUGUGUUGACAUCUGGGUAAAAUUGCUGGUGCUAGACUAUGCUGGCAGUCACGGCAUUCUUCACUGCUACAAACUUACAGGGGGAAUAAAUGCCAGUUUCACCAAAGAAUGUCCUAAAUUAGACAGUAAAAAUUAUUAAUUUUAUAAAACCUUGCCCAAAAGGUACUUUUUCUCUCCUCCCCUCCUCUCCCCUCUCUGCCUCCCUUCCCCUUCCCCUUCCCUUUCCUUUCCUUCCCUUCCCUUCCCUUUCUUUUCUUUGUGUGAUGACUUGGAAACAAAGUAUCAAGCAUUUCUGGUGCAUCCUGAAGUAUGAUGGUCAUCUGGAGGAAAAGCACUUGUGUGAGUGUCCUGAGUUGUGAUCUGCACUAGUCACUUUCAUGGAACACAAUGUUUACUCAAAAGGACCAAAUAACCAUAGUUAUUCAGAUUUGGUUAUUUGACAGGCAUUUUCUCAAAAAUGAACAAACUGAGCUCAUCACUUCAAGAAAGACAAUAAUUAACAGUAUUUUCUGCCAAAAUAGAAGUAUAAAGCAAAAAUUAGAAUUUUUAGAAACCUGUAUCUGCCAUAGUGAACUUAACACCUUCCCAACACUUACAGAGGUUUUUGAUGAGAUCAGUGAUAUUAACAAAUAAGAACUUUUAGUUUUCAUCAAGAAAUAUAUCAAAUUUGAAAAAUCUGCAUGACUUAGUGAAGCAAUAUUUUCCAAAUGACCCAUGCAUAUUAUUUCAAAAUCAUGCAUGAGCAAAAGAUCUAUUCAGAGUACAAGCCAGAUAACUGAAUUUUAACAUAACUGAGCACAAAAAGUUCAUUGAUAUAGUUUCAGAUUCCACAUUGCAACUAACCUUAGUAAUCUACUAUUGGUUGAGUUUUGGUAUAAUGUCAAAGAAGAAUAUUCACAAUUAUCUGAAAAGACUAUUAAAAUAUUCCUCCCUUUUCCAACAAAAUAACUACGUGAGGCUGGGUUUCCUUCGCAUACUUUAUCCAAAACAACAUUAUCACAGCUGAUUGAAUGCAGAAGCCGAUAUGAGAAUCCAGCUGUCUUCUAUUAAGCCGGACAGUCAAGAGAUUUGCAAAAAUGUAAAACACUGUCACUCUUCUCACUUGGAUUUUUUAAAAAAGUUAUUUUUAUAAUAAAAUGUUAUUUUUAACGUUUAAA